UACAGAGGUCUCAAGCGUUGUUCGGAUUCAUUGGGCGUAAAGGGUGCGUAGGUGGCGCCGUAAGUCGGGUGUGAAAUUUCGGAGCUUAACUCCGAAACUGCAUUCGAUACUGCGGUGCUUGAGGACUGGAGAGGAGACUGGAAUUCAUGGUGUAGCAGUGAAAUGCGUAGAGAUCUUGAGGAAGACCAGUGGCGAAGGCGGGUCUCUGGACAGUUCCUGACACUGAGGCACGAAGGCCAGGGGAGCAAACGGG
rnacentral:rRNA from 1 species